rnacentral:rRNA from 1 species
GACGAACGCUGGCGGCGUGCUUAACACAUGCAAGUCGAACGGAAAGGCCCUGCUUUUGUGGGGUGCUCGUGUGGCGAACGGGUGAGUAACACGUGAGUAACCUGCCCUUGACUUUGGGAUAACUUCAGGAAACUGGGGCUAAUACCGGAUAGGAUCUCCUGCUGCAUGGUGGGGGUUGGAAAGUUUCGGCGGUUGGGGAUGGACUCGCGGCUUAUCAGCUUGUUGGUGUGGUAGUGGCUUACCAAGGCUUUGACGGGUAGCCGGCCUGAGAGGGUGACCGGCCACAUGGGGACUGAGAUACGGCCCAGACUCCUACGGGAGGCAGCAGUGGGGAAUAUUGCACAAUGGGCGGAAGCCUGAUGCAGCAACGCCGCGUGCGGGAUGACGGCCUUCGGGUUGUAAACCGCUUUCGCCUGUGACGAAGCGUGAGUGACGGUAAUGGGUAAAGAAGCACCGGCUAACUACGUG